GAGAAGAACGUAGCGAAAUGCGAUACUUGGUGUGAAUUGCAGAAUCCCGCGAAUCAUCGAGUUUUUGAACGCAAGUUGCGCCCGAAGCCAUUCGGCCGAGGGCACGUCUGCCUGGGUGUCACGCAUCGUUGCCCCCCCAAACUCCGGUUCGGGCGGGGCGGAAGUUGGCCUCCCGUGCGUGCCUGCGCGCGCGGUUAGCCCAAAAGCGAGUCCUCGGCGACGAGCGCCACGACAAUCGGUGGUUUUUUUACCCUCGUUCCUCGUCGUGCGUGUCCCGUCGCCCGAACGCGCUCUUGCGACCCUCACGCGUCGCCUCGGCGGCGCUCCCAACGCGACCCCAGGUCAGGCGGGACUACCCGCUGAGUUUAAGCAUAUCAAUAAGCGGAGGA
rnacentral:misc_RNA from 1 species